AAGCUUAAACUGUGACCUGAAUUACUCUUGCUGAAUCACAGUUGAAUUUCAGGAGAGUUUUUGGAUAGCAUAUUAUCAUUGCAGAAGCUUUCCUUUUUUUGUAGAUGUGUGAUAUUACUGAUACUGUUGGAAUAAUCUGACCUUCCUUUCCUGUUUCUCUACUUCUGCCAUCCAGCCGCAAGCAUAACCUUCAGCUAAUUCUGGGUUCAACUCUUCAAAACCCUGUUCACAAAGCAAGAGGUAUUCAGUUCCGCUGGUACAAAAAAAAAGGGGAAUAUGAAGUCUUUGUGUAGAUGGUUAAUCUUUUGAAGCAAGUAUGAAUUCAGAAUGACUUGCUAUGCUGACGUUAGAAGAACUAUGGUCUAUGCAGUGCUGGAGUUCAACUAGUAACAUAAAACAACAGCCCUGAAGACUUACGCAUCAUGAUCUGACGCAAGUAAUUUGUUUUGUUUCUGUUCAUUGCCUACAUGGAAGACAGAAACUUACUGAAGAUCUGAAGUUCAUCCCAAUAAACUGACCUUAAUACUCUCAAAACAGUUGUGCAGUGUAUCAAUCAGCCCAGGGAUUUCUUUAAAGCACCUCUACUUGUGGUGGGUAGAAAAACUGGGAAGCACAAGUAGCCCCCUCUAUUCAGGGAGUGAGUUUGCUGAAAACUAUGUAAUCACUACAGCAAGUUCUAAGGAGUUAUUCAGAAUACUGACAGACUUAAUGUAA
rnacentral:lncRNA from 1 species